rnacentral:rRNA from 1 species
AGCGAACGCUGGCGGCAGGCCUAACACAUGCAAGUCGAACGAACCUUUCGGGGUUAGUGGCGGACGGGUGAGUAACACGUGGGCACGUGCCUUUAGGUUCGGAAUAACUCAGGGAAACUUGUUCUAAUACCGAAUGUGCCCUUCGGGGGAAAGAUUAAUCGCCUUUAGAGCGGCCCGCGUCUGAUUAGCUAGUUGGUUGAGGUAAUGGCUCACCAAGGCGACGAUCAGUAGCUGGUCUGAGAGGAUGAUCAGCCACAUUGGGACUGAGACACGGCCCAAACUCCUACGGGAGGCAGCAGUGGGGAAUCUUGCGCAAUGGGCGAAAGCCUGACGCAGCCAUGCCGCGUGAAUGAUGAAGGUCUUAGGAUUGUAAAAUUCUUUCACCGGGGACGAUAAUGACGGUACCCGGAGAAGAAGCCCCGGCUAACUUCGUG